UGGCAUACGGCUCAGUAACACGUAGUCAACAUGCCCAGGGGACGUGGAUAACCUCGGGAAACUGAGGAUAAACCGCGAUAGGUCAUCACUUCUGGAAUGGGUAAUGACUUAAAUCUACAUGGCCCCUGGAUUGGACUGCGGCCGAUCAGGCUGUUGGUGAGGUAAUGGCCCACCAAACCUGUAACCGGUACGGGCUCUGAGAGGAGGAGCCCGGAGAUGGGCACUGAGACAAGGGCCCAGGCCCUAUGGGGCGCAGCAGGCGCGAAACCUCUGCAAUAGGCGAAAGCUUGACAGGGUUACUCUGAGUGAUUUCCGUUAAGGAGAUCUUUUGGCACCUCUAAAAAUGGUGCAGAAUAAGGGGUGGGCAAGUCUGGUGUCAGCCGCCGCGGUAAUACCAGCACCCCGAGUGGUCGGGACGUUUAUUGGGCCUAAAGCAUCCGUAGCCGGUUCUACAAGUCUUCCGUUAAAUCCACCUGCUCAACAGAUGGGCUGCGGAAGAUACUAUGGAGCUAGGAGGCGGGAGAGGCAAGCGGUACUCGAUGGGUAGGGGUAAAAUCCGUUGAUCCAUUGAAGACCACCAGUGGCGAAGGCGGCUUGCCAGAACGCGCUCGACGGUGAGGGAUGAAAGCUGGGGGAGCAAACCGGAUUAGAUACCCGGGUAGUCCCAGCUGUAAACGAUG
rnacentral:rRNA from 1 species